GUUAUACUCCCUCCGUCCCAAAAUUCUUGUCUUAUAUUUGUCUAGAUACGGAUGUAUCUAAUACUAAAACGUGAUUUGAUACAUCCAUAUUUAGACAAAGACAAGAAUUUUGGGAUGGAGGGAGUACUUG
rnacentral:pre_miRNA from 1 species